GAUUUAAGAACAGAGAUGGGUGAGAGUGUUUAAGUGUUUAAGAGACUAAAGAGAAUGAGAUUAAGAGACUGAGAGACUAGAGAGAGACUGAGAGAAUAAGAGACUGAAGAUUAGGGAAGGAGAAGGGAAACCCCCUUACUCACUUAGUUCUUUACACACGACAUUACUCAGCUUAUAUAUGAGCUUUACAACUUGUAAUACUUAGAAACCCUAGCAUAAAGGAUAAGAGAAGAAGGGUGGAGAUCUUCUGGUUUGAAUUGGACGUUGCUGAUUAAGUCUUGGGGCUUUACUAGCUGGUUGAGGGCGCCUGAUUGGAUAAUGGAAAGCACGGCCAGGACAGUCCCUUUAUGUCUUGUGUAUCUGCCCAUCUCUUUGUCCAGAUACAUAGUCUUGUCUUGCUCUUCUUUUCCAGCUGUAGCCAGCCUGUCUUGGACCACUCUAACCAAUCCCAUACUUCCCUCAAACUGGCGCCAACCCUUGUUUGAAUCUUCUUGCCCCCAAAGCAUCUUCUUGAUUCCAUUUGAUGCUUCUCACUAUCCCGGACUUUGCACAUUCAUAUUAGAGCUUCUCCUUGGCUGUACGGUCUUGCUAGCCGUACACCAAUGCCCUAUAUUUGCACCACACUUCCAUCUUCUCUUUAACUCCUCCAAAGCCUUCACAUGAUCAGUCUAAGUCUUUCCUAGACUUAACUUCACAACAUAACUACUUCAGAAUACUUCUGAAGCUUGAUUGAACUCUUCUUGACUUCUUCUAGAGCUUGCCCUAUUAUUGUACAAGCUCUAUCUUCU
rnacentral:lncRNA from 1 species